UUCUCCCCUGGCCACUCCCUUGGGGUCUCUCCCUGAGAUUGGCCGCUGGUGCCUUGGGUCUUCCCCAGGGCACUUUCCUGGCUUGGAAUCCCCACAGGACCAUGCGGUAGUGAGAGGUGCUGGGAGUGGUGAGAGGGGCAAGGGGCUCCAUCCGGCUGCAGCCACCAUUGGGGGUAGCAGGCUACAGGGAUGAAGGGUGUGGGGGCUGCCCCAGAAGGCUAGGGGCAAGGGAAACGUCUUCCAUUCUCUGGCUCUUCACAGAGGUCUGAGAAAGGUCUGAGCAAGGCAGAUCUCCCGCAACCCCUCUGCGGGACAGAGGCGAUGGGGCAGCCACAUGCCUGCGGUUAGCUGCUUCUAUCUGAUGGCUUGUCCUUCCUUCCUGCCGGCUGCUGUCCUGUGACUUGGCCCCAGGGACCCUAACGAUCAGACUCUUUCACCCUUCCUGAAAUCCCCCCCACUGAGGGUCAGCAAUCAAGGGGAGGGUGGACACGGAGGAAGCAGCCACUGCCUGUGCACUGGGAAAUGAAGGCACAGUCAGGCCAGGUGAUUUGCCCAAGUCACAGAGCCAGGGACAACCUUCCCUCCCCAAAAGGGAACUGGGCCAUGCCCUCCCUGGCAUAGGAAUCAGACCAGGAUACUGAUGGGAACUUGGGAGGCCCUCGCCUCACUUAACCAACCAGGAAGCUGGCAUCAGAGGGUUGAGGUGACCUGCUCAAGUCACACGACCCCCACUCAGCAGAUGGGGACAGAAGGGGGCUAGAGUCUGGCGAAAGGGGCCCAGGUUUGGGGGUGUGCAGCAGGACCACUGACAAGAGGACGGCCCCAGAGCACCCAAGGGGUCCACGGAGGGUUCUCACCUCCUCCUGGUGAAUCAGAAUACUGAGGACUCAGUGACGCUGGGGGACAGUGUCGAGCUCCCAGGCCUGGCCUAGGGUGGGUGUUGCGACUGAGUGCCCGAGAGGACAGGGCAGGCUGGAGGAGGGAGGCGGCUUCUGCUCUCACUGCUGGGAACAUGCCACCACCACGGGCUCUGGGUGGUGCUCAAUGAACAUGGAGCUCACCCAUGGCCGGCAGAAGGCUGGGGACAGCACACCGCCCUGCCUCCCAGCUUGGGAGUCUUCUUAGCUCACGCGUGGAGCCCCCCACCCACUUCCCAGCCUCACAGGGGCCUCUCCUCCUGGUCCUGUCGUGAUGCAGCGCCGCCCGCCCACUGCCGUCCUGUGCCCUGCCCCUUCGUGUCUCCAAGGUCCAAGAGGGAAGAGGGGAAGAGAGGCACGUUCACCCAAGUGGCUCCUUCUCACACCUCAGAAAAGGCUCUCCUGGAGGGGACAUGGAGCCGGCUGUCCUAGCGUGUCAUGGGAUCUAAUUAAACCUACUGACUGCUGAGGGGUUUCAGAGCUCUGCUCAUCUCAUGGAGCAGGCUAGGACUUGUAGCAGAGUGGUGUGGGAGCUGACAUGCUGGGCAGCUGGCAAAGUCACUUUCCUGGGCUGUGUUCCUGGUCCCUCGCUGGUGUGUAAUGCUGCACCAAGGCUUUCCCUCCGUUCCCAGCAGACCUGCUGUCGGCCACCAAACCCCAGACGGAAGCUCCAGAGCCCACGUUCACACACACGGAGCGGGCCCUCAGCCUCAGUCCUACCAUCCGUGAAAUGGGAAGAUAACUGCACCCCGUCUCCGGUCUUGGGGAGGCUGAACAGAGGUGGUUCGGGGAAGGCACAGGCAUGGAGGCACACGGGGCGUGGGGUGCUCCCUGCCGGCCUCGGGGCCCUGCUCUGUCCAGUGCAGGACCUUCUGCCGCUGUGCUGGUGACAGCCUCCAACAGCCUGCCCAGGUGCUGUGAUCAUUUCUGGUGCUUCCAGCAAGGGCCUUCAGUCUUCGGCUGUACAGGGAGGGUGCUGGGAGGCCCCCAGUCCAGCAGCAAAAUAGAUGGGAACCUGGGCCCCAGACACAAGCAUGCAUCCUGCCUCCACCCCACAACUCCUACAGCCCCUCUACUGCCUCCUCUGAGAAUCAAUUACAGAGCCUUCCUCAUGACUGAGGGGGCUGGGGGGUGGGGGAAGCAACAGGGACCCCAAGGGUGGUGCCGUCUGAGCCUCUGGCCUCUCUCCACGCCCAGGCACUGAACUGCACAGACCGCAGCACCGAGUCCCUCAGGGCACCUUUCUUCCCUGAGGCUUUCAGAACCUAGGAAAUUGCCACACUAGCUUCUGCCACCCUUUUGAAAAGGGCUGUUUCUUUCUCAAUCUGAUGGGCAUCUCUUCUGGGAAGCUCUGCGAGGUGCCAUGUCACCCUCUGCCCCCUCCACUCUAGCUGCAACGGUCCAUCUGCCUGGACAGGGGCCCUGGGGUCAGGGAGCCAUUUCAGCUUCCCUCUGCAAGGUGAUGUCAGUCCUUAAUUCCCAGUAGCAGAGAGACCACUCGCAGCCCGGGGACCUCCCGCCUCCUGGGGAGCACUGAGAGCUGCCGCAGGCUGAGCCACCCUGUAUGUGGCAAGAUUUGUUUUUCCCAAUGGGGGCAUUCAUUUGCCCUGAGACCCCUGCUGUGGCCAUGUGCAUUUUGAUGUAUUUGAUAAGGAUUACAGUAUUGCACAUCAUUUAUCGACAAGUGCUUUGUGUAUGUUGCCUCACAUAUUCUGACUGUCGUCAACAUCCUCAUUUUCCAGGUGAGGACACGGAGGCUCAGAGAGGUUAGGCAGCUUGCCUGAGAUCACACAGUCGGUGAGGGGCAGAGCUAGAAUUCAAACUCCAGGCGUGUCCCAGUGGGUUAAGGUGAGGACUGAUCCUGGGAGAGCUCAGUGUCCUGUCUGUGCCAGGAGCAUGUGUGUGCCCUCAAAAGAAAGUCUCCACCAUUAGCCAUCACGCAGAGACCUCCUGAUGGUCCGUGGGUUCUUUCCGUUCGUGUCACCCUGGCCAUCACCACCGUCACCCUCUGCACCCAGCAGCAGCCUCCAGCGGGGUCUCCUCAACUCUUCCCAGCAUGUAGCUCCCUCCUCCCCAGGUCAGUUCAGCCACCUUCCAGCUGCUACCCCGUACCCUGCCCCUCUGCUCACCCAUUUUCCCCUCAGGUUGGCAUCCAGUGCUGUGCCCCAGGCCGGCUCUGCCUCCCUUCCACUGCGGGCGGGGCCUGUCUCAGAGUCCACCCUGCAUCUCCCUUAGCACCCGCCAAACAGUUCUUCUUGAACGAGGAAAAAGCCAGAGUGGUGCUCCGAGUUAGUCACACCUGGGUUUAGCCCCCCCCCUGCACUCCAAGCUCUUGGUCUCCUCGCCUGCGGAAUGGGUCUGCAGCAGUAAAAACAGCAUCGCGGGGCCCUCCAGACAGAGCAGGCAGAGGAGGAGAGCACCCAUUCUCCCACUGCCCACCUUCAGCCGCACGGAGCAAACCCGAGUGCCCUCCCGGGGGGGGUCCUCUCCACAGUUCUUUGACUCCAGCGGAGGUUCUCAAAGAGCUGCAUUCGCUCACCACCUGCGGGGCGCUUGUUUUCUUCCCUGAAGAUGACUGGCCUCUCUGGGGUGUUAAUUCUUAAUGAUCAACUUUUCUUUGUUGAUUUCUCUUAACAAAUCAUCUUAAAAAUAGGUUUGACUUUUAAACAUUUUUUUUAAAUUAAAAACUGAGCUUUUAAUAUCUGUUUAGACAACUGUAAGACAGUGAAAGCUUUAACUUGAAGCCUACAUUUUAGGAAACAUGUAGUUAAAUAAAAAUAUACCAAUUUCAGUAUUUUUCAUAAGCUUUUUGUAACUUUAACACAACCUUUUAGGAACUAACGUCAUCGUCAUGAGCUUGAAAGGGAAAUUUAUCUGAAGUUCAGUGGAAACUGAGUUUCACUUCAUUUUUAAAAUUAUGUUAAUCUCAAGCAAAAUUAAAUACAUUUUAUUUUUUACAAAGUUAAUAAUGGUUAGCUUUAAGAUACCAAGAAUAAUUAUUUUUUGUUAUGCUCCUCUGUAUUUUUCAAAUUUCCUACCAAAAAUGGGUAAGUUUAUAAUCAGAAAAAGUCAUAAAAUAUAGUUUUUACAAAGAAAAAAAAAUGGACAGCCAUAUUAAUUUAAUGUGAGGAAAGAAAG